rnacentral:tRNA from 1 species
GUAGUCGUGGCCGGGUGGUUAAGGCGAUGUACUAGAAAUCCAUUGGGCUCUGCCCGCGCUGAUUCGAAUCCUGCCGACUACG